GUGCUCGCUUUGGCAGCACACAUACUAAAAUUGGAACUAUACAGGGAAGAUUAGCAUGGCCCCUGUGCAAAGAUGACACACAAAUUUGUGAAGCAUUUCAUAUUUUU
rnacentral:snRNA from 1 species